rnacentral:rRNA from 1 species
UUCCGGUUGAUCCUGCCGGACCUGACUGCUAUCGGAUUGAUACUAAGCCAUGCGAGUCAUUGUAGCAAUACAAGGCAGACGGCUCAGUAACGCGUAGUCAACCUACCCUAUGGACGGGAAUAACCUCGGGAAACUGAGUAUAAUGCCCGAUAGAACACUAUACCUGGAAUGGUUUGUGUUCCAAAUGAUUUAUCGCCGUAGGAUGGGACUGCGGCCUAUCAGUUUGUUGGUGAGGUAAUGGCCCACCAAGACUAUUACAGGUACGGGCUCUGAGAGGAGUGGCCCGGAGAUGGGUACUGAGACACGGACCCAGGCCCUAUGGGGCGCAGCAGGCGAGAAAACUUUGCAAUGUGCGAAAGCACGACAAGGUUAAUCCGAGUGGUUUCUGCUAAAGGAACCUUUUGACAGUCCUAAAAACACUGUUGAAUAAGGGGUGGGCAAGUUCUGGUGUCAGCCGCCGCGGUAAAACCAGCACCUCAAGUGGUCAGGAUGAUUAUUGGGCCUAAAGCAUCCGUAGCCGGCUCUGUAAGUUUUCGGUUAAAUCUGUACGCUUAACGUACAGGCUGCUGGGAAUACUGCAGGGCUAGGGAGUGGGAGAGGUAGACGGUACUCAGGAGGAAGUGGUAAAAUGCUUUGAUCUCCUGAUGACCACCUGUGGCGAAGGCGGUCUACCAGAACACGUCCGACGGUGAGGGAUGAAAGCUGGGGGAGCAAACCGGAUUAGAUACCCGGGUAGUCCCAGCCGUAAACUAUGCAAACUCAGUGAUGCAUUGGCUUAUGGCCAGUGCAGUGUUGCAGGGAAGCCGUUAAGUUUGCCGCCUGGGAAGUACGUACGCAAGUAUGAAACUUAAAGGAAUUGGCGGGGGAGCACCACAAGGGGUGAAGCCUGCGGUUCAAUUGGAUUCAACGCCGG